rnacentral:lncRNA from 1 species
GCUUCAUACAUGAGAAAUAUUUCUUUUGAUCAGAGUAGUUUGCAAGUGCGUGGGUCAAAUUUAAGCAUCGAGUUUUUAACGAGUGGCUCCUGUGUGUGAAGUGCUACAUGAGCUAGCUCUGGGGUAGACAGGCAGAACAGGGCACCAAACAUUAAAAUGGGCACGGGAAAGAUGUUUAAUGAUGGUUCAAGGUGGACACUAGGAGGAGCAUGAGAAAGCAGCACACGCAGGUUGCCCUCACUUAGUGUCUGCUGAGCACAGCCUUCAAGUCGUGGGAGACGGGUGUCCUGAGGCCUGAUGGCCUGUGUGCAGCCCCCAGCAUGUUCAGGAGCUCAGGGCUUCCCAGUUUGCACCAGCCCUGAUGAUCCCCAGGCCACUGAGGAAGGGCCACACAGUACACCAACCAGUCCAUGUCUGCCGGAUAUGCUUCUAGAGUGCCACUAAAACCUCUUCUGAAGAAAAGACUCUGCAGAGCAAAGAGGAAAAGAGGCACAGGAAUUCCCAGGCAAGAAAUACAGAUAGUAAAAGCUGUUGCACGGAGCUCCUGGAAGGCUGGUGAGCAGAGCAAAUGGACAAGAGAAGCUAUUCACAUCUUCCAAACUCUGAGACAAGACAUCCUGGGACAAAUCACUGUGAGGACUGCAGCCAGUUAUGGCAGGAGGUCCCGUAUCACUGAAUCUGGAGCUGGAGGGGUCCAGGAAACACCAGCAGUCAUUUUGCCGGAGAUAUUGAUCAGCCAGAGAAUACUCGUCUGUGAACUGGGUAAAUCCAGGGGCAGGACUGGAGGCAGGUUUACCUGAAGUAAGCAACAGUGUCCGGUGGAAUGAGGAGCCUAACAUUCUAGGUGACAAUUUUUACAUCCAAUUCACUGGAAAUAUGGUUGAGUUUCUUGGUAGGAAAAUUAAUUUUUUUAGCACUAGGGCCUCUGAACCAGCAGAGUUCCAAGAAUGAGAAGUAAACAUUUAAAAAGUCCAGCAUUGGGUGAAAUACUAAGGGUUCCUUUCCUAUUUCUGCACUUUGGUUGGUGGAAUUGUUUUCCAACUGUGGAAGAAACACUAUAUAUUGGUCACUCGUUC